UACGAAGGGGGCUAGCGUUGUUCGGAUUUACUGGGCGUAAAGCGCACGUAGGCGGAUCGUUAAGUCGGGGUGAAAUCCUGGAGCUCAACUCCAGAACUGCCCUUCGAUACUGGCGAUCUAGAGUCCGGAAGAGGUGAGUGGAACUCCUAGUGUAGAGGUGGAAUUCGUAGAUAUUAGGAAGAACACCAGUGGCGAAGGCGGCUCACUGGUCCGGUACUGACGCUGAGGUGCGAAAGCGUGGGAGCAACAGGAGUAAGAUA
rnacentral:rRNA from 1 species